rnacentral:rRNA from 1 species
AGUGAACGCUGGCGGUAGGCCUAACACAUGCAAGUCGAACGGCAGCACAGGAGAGCUUGCUCUCUGGGUGGCGAGUGGCGGACGGGUGAGGAAUACAUCGGAAUCUGCCCAGUCGUGGGGGAUAACGUAGGGAAACUUACGCUAAUACCGCAUACGACCUUCGGGUGAAAGAGGGGGAUCGCAAGACCUCUCGCGAUUGGAUGAGCCGAUGUCGGAUUAGCUAGUUGGCGGGGUAAUGGCCCACCAAGGCGACGAUCCGUAGCUGGUCUGAGAGGAUGAUCAGCCACACUGGAGCUGAGACACGGUCCAGACUCCUACGGGAGGCAGCAGUGGGGAAUAUUGGACAAAGGGCGCAAGCCUGAUCCAGCCAUACCGCGUGGGUGAAGAAGGCCUUCGGGUUGUAAAGCCCUUUUGUUGGGAAAGAAAUCUUUCAGGCUAAUACCCUGGGAGGAUGACGGUACCCAAAGAAUAAGCACCGGCUAACUUCGUG